rnacentral:rRNA from 1 species
AUGCGAAAUAACUCGAGGAUAAAUGUGGAAAUCAAUCUUGCUUUUAGAUAUUGUAACCGUUUGACCAUGGUUUGGCCAGUGGGUGACAUGGGAGAAGCUGCCGGCCGAUUCCGGCCCGCUCUGGUGACCCCGGCGGCCAUCCAACACCUUCCAGUGCUCUCCUAUCGUUGCUCUACCAUCUCCACUGCGCUCCAACAUCAUCCGCGGCUAACCCUGGCCGCUCGGACUGCUGGUGUGCGGCAUCGCCAUACUACUAAUAUUCACCUUGCUCAGAGCACUCGGCUCAUCUACAAUAAGUUCAGAAAUGAAUAUCCUAGGCAAAGGUCCAUAUAUAUGAGUUCUGGCGUAUCCAUCAUUGUUGGGAAGGGAAAACCAUAA